rnacentral:rRNA from 1 species
GGGGCACAAACCAGGGGGUGGCGACUGUUUACUAAAAACACAGGGCUCUGCGAAGCCGUAAGGCGACGUAUAGGGUCUGACGCCUGCCCGGUGCCGGAAGGUUAAAAGGAGAUGUGCAAGCAUUGAAUUGAAGCCCCGGUAAACGGCGGCCGUAACUAUAACGGUCCUAAGGUAGCGAAAUUCCUUGUCGGGUAAGUUCCGACCUGCACGAAUGGCGUAACGACUUCCCCGCUGUCUCAAAUGUGGACUCAGCGAAAUUGAAUUGUCUGUGAAGAUGCAGACUUCCCGCGGUUAGACGGAAAGACCCCAUGCACCUUUACUAUAGCUUCGCACUGGCAUCAGGAUUGUGAUGUGCAGGAUAGGUGGUAGGCAUUGAAACCGGGACGCCAGUUCCGGUGGAGCCAUCCUUGAGAUACCACCCUUCGCACUCUUGAUGUCUAACCGCGGCCCGUUAUCCGGGUCCGGGACCCUGCAUGGUGGGGAGUUUGACUGGGGCGGUCGCCUCCCAAAGAGUAACGGAGGCGCGCGAUGGUUGGCUCAGACCGGUCGGAAAUCGGUCGUUGAGUGCAAUGGCAGAAGCCAGCCUGACUGCAAGACUGACAAGUCGAGCAGAGACGAAAGUCGGCCAUAGUGAUCCGGUGGUCCCGAGUGGAAGGGCCAUCGCUCAACGGAUAAAAGGUACGCUGGGGAUAACAGGCUGAUGAUGCCCAAGAGUCCAUAUCGACGGCAUCGUUUGGCACCUCGAUGUCGGCUCAUCUCAUCCUGGGGCUGGAGCAGGUCCCAAGGGUAUGGCUGUUCGCCAUUUAAAGAGGUACGUGAGCUGGGUUUAGAACGUCGUGAGACAGUUCGGUCCCUAUCUGCCGUGGGUGUAGGAGACUUGAGAAGAGUUGCCCCUAGUACGAGAGGACCGGGGUGAACGAACCACUGGUGGACCAGUUAUCGUGCCAACGGUAGUGCUGGGUAGCUAUGUUCGGACAGGAUAACCGCUGAAGGCAUCUAAGCGGGAAGCCCCCUUCAAAACAAGGUCUCCCUUGAGGGCCGUGGAAGACGACCACGUCGAUAGGCCAGAGGUGUAAGUGCAGCAAUGCAUUCAGCUGACUGGUACUAAUUGCUCGAUAGGCUUGAUUUG